AAUGAACGCUGGCGGCAGGCCUAACAUAUGCAAGUCGAACGGAUCCUUCGGGAUUAGUGGCGGACGGGUGAGUAACGCGUGGGAACAUACCCUUUGGUACGGAAUAGCCUCGGGAAACUGGGAGUAAUACCGUAUGUGGUCGAGAGACGAAAGAUUUAUCGCCAAAGGAUUGGCCCGCGUUGGAUUAGGUGGUUGGUGGGGUAAUGGCCUACCAAGCCGACGAUCCAUAGCUGGUUUGAUAGGAUGAUCAGCCACACUGGGACUGAGACACGGUCCAGACUACUACUGGAAGCAUCAGUGGGCAAUCUUAGACAAUGGGGGAAACCCUGAUCUAGCCAUGCCGCGUGAUCGAUGAAGGCCUUAGGGUUGUAAAGAUCUUUCAGGUGGGAAGAUAAUGACUGUACCACCAGAAGAAGCCCCGGCUAACUCCGUGCCAGCCGCCGCGGUAA
rnacentral:rRNA from 1 species